UACGUAGGUGGCAAGCGUUGUCCGGAUUUACUGGGCGUAAAGCGUGCGCAGGCGGACCUUUAAGCAGGAAGUGAAAGGUUGGAGCUCAACUCUAACACUGCUCCCUAUACUGGAGGUCUUGAGUGCCGGAGAGGAAGACGGAACGACACGUGUAGCGGUGAAAUGCGUUGAGAUGUGUCGGAACACCAAGUGGCGAAAGCAGUCUUCUGGACGGAUACUGACGCUCAGGCACGAAAGCCAAGGUAGCAAACAGG
rnacentral:rRNA from 1 species